AUGCUUCUGCUGACGGUUUCAACGACACUCCCAUGGAUGAUGCAAUCAUCCAACCACGGUGAGAUUCACCGUAUCACCGUCUAUGUUGGACUGUAUCUUACAGCCCUUGGCAACGGUGGCAUCAAGCCCUGCACCUCCCCUUUUGGCGCUGACCAGUUUGACAUCACGGACACGAUGGAGCGGGUGAAGAAGGGCUCAUUCUUCAAUUGGUUCUACUUCUUGAACACUAUUGGCUCCCUUUUGUCGACCACUGUGAUCAUCUGGGUGCAAGACAAUGUUGGGUGGGGGAUCGGCUUUGCGAUCCCCAUGAUCCUCACGAGUCUUAGUUUCAUGGUGUUCAUCGCAAGUAGGAGGAUGUACAGAUACAAGUCAAAAGGAGAAAGUCCCAUGACAACAGCUUCCCAGGUUGUUGUUGCAGCUGCAAGAAAUCGCCAUCUGAAGUUGCCUGAGGAUUGCACAACCUUGCAUUACCCGCCUUCAUCACCAUCGGAGGCUACAUUCAGUGUUCAGCAUACCACUCAGUUCAGAUUUUUGGACAAGGCUGCCAUUGUAUCACCAUCGACACAGGAGAAGAAAGGUGUGGCGACGAGCCCAUGGAGGCUAUGCACACUCUCUCAUGUUGAAGAGGUGAAGAUGCUGCUACGUCUGUGCCCUGCAUGGGCGUCUUUGCUGGUCUUCUUCAUGAUCACGGCACAGAUGUCGUCGACGGUGAUCGAGCAGGGUAUGGCAAUGGACAACCGCAUGGGGUCAUUCGCCGUGCCACCGGCCUCCCUCGCCAGCUUCAAUGUGGUUACCACACUUGUAUUGAUCCCCAUAUAUGACGUCGUGCUAGUGCCCCUGGCUCGGCGCGCCACUGGCGAGGACCGAGGUCUCACACAACCGCAGCGCCUUGGCGUCGGUCUCACGUUGUCCACUCUCGCCAUGGCUUACCUAGCUCUUCUCGAGAGGAACCGUCUCGCAAAGGCCGCGAUCGGGGAAGCGGUGAGCAUUAUGUGGCAGGCACCGGCAUACGCCGUGAUGGGUGUUAGUGAGGUGUUUACGGUCAUCGGCAUGAUCGAGCUCUUCUACGACUGGGCUCCGGACAACAUGAGGAGCCUGUGCACCGCCUUUGGGCAGCUUGCCAUCGCGGCAGGGAGCUACCUCAACUCGGCAGCGCUAGGCGUUGUCGCGUCCGCCACGAUGUGGAUCCCAGAGGACCUCGACAACGGACACUUGGACUACUUCUUCUGGACAAUAGCGGUGCUCAGUGCCUUGAAUCUGUUACAGUUUGUACUCUAUUCUAUGAUGUACAAUGAUAACGUAGCUUGUCGACAACGCCAUCCAUAUUAG
rnacentral:rRNA from 1 species